ensembl:snoRNA SNORD114-14 small nucleolar RNA, C/D box 114-14
UGGACCAAUGAUGACAAUUGCCGGCGUAUGAGUGUUGGGUGAUGAAUAAUACGUGUGUAGAACUCUGAGGUCCAA